CCUGAUGUAAGUUUACAGUAUUUAAUUUAUAUUUUAAAUAAUUAAUAUUUUACCUCUCAGAUCUACUAUUUUGUGUUGGUUUUCGGUGGCAUUGCCUUUUGUAGGAGUACGUUGAUUGAAUCGUAUAUUUUAUCAUCUUGUAAUGCAUUGAGAUUUUUCUUUAUAAAGCUUAACAAAGAGUCAGGUGGGAAAGCUAACGGGUCGAAUCUUAGAUAUUUUAACACGGACAGCGGAACAUAUUUGUCCUGUAGUACGUACCGUUUUGCUCGCCAAAAUUGGUAAAAGAGGGGUAAUUGAAAUGGGGCGAUAAAACCGAAGAUAGCUCCUGCAUUGUUUGGUUAUGCCACUUCAGAAUUAAGCUUUGAUUUAAUGUAUUUUUGGACGUCGAAAAUUACAGGAAAUCAACUUGAAAAAAAAAAAAAGAAAAAAAAAGAAGAAGAAGAAGACAGAAACAAUGUGUUAAGCCAUGGGCGGCCAGCGGCGCUGGCCCACCGUUGUCAUGCAUGUGUCGAAGUGUGAACUAGAACCACGGGCGUGGAAAGAAGCUUAUUAAAAAAUUAGCAAGUUGCAGAUAAGAUGUUGUAAGGAUCCAAAAGAGCAACGGGUGCGCAAUAGCACUUCCAUGUGUAUCGCUGCAUUCUGGAAGAUAUAUGGACCGUAUAUAUGUUAGGUAGCUAGGUAAUCACGUGGAAGCUUCCUUAGCCAUAGUGCUUCAACUUUUGCAAACUUUCUACUUCUUUUUUAUUUUUAUUUUAGUUUUGAAAAUAAUUAAAAAGUGUUUUAUUUCUAAAAUGCGUAUGAAGUGUUUUAUCUCCAAAAAGGCAUAUUAAAAAGUUUGCUUUUGGGGAUUUGGAUCUGUGAA